AGUACAUCAACAUAAUGGCUUCUUGUUUUCGAUUCGAAAUUGUAUUCGUAUACCGCAACUUGUUACAGUAUUACUAGAUUUAAAAACUGGCAAAAUGUUACUGUAUCAAUCAUUUUCAUCGUAUUAUCUUUAUUAAAUAGUUAAUAGAUUGUGUAAAAUAGGGUAAGUCCGGGGUAGAUGGCCAUAUGGGAGAGAUGGCCUAUCGAAAUAUUUCAAGGUACGGUUCAUUAAAUGCCACCGUUUCGCAUUUAGUUCGUUGGGCGUCGUGCGUGAGGACAGCGGUGCGACAAAACAUUUGGCGAAAAAAAAAGAAAAAAUGCCUAAUAAAUACAAGAGAAAGGCAGUGGCUGUGAGAGGAAAUUGGUCGGAAGAAUCACUAAAAGCAGCUAUUAAUGCUGUGAAAAAUGAUGGAUUAUCCGUACGCGCGGCUAGUCUCCAGUAUCAGAUACCUAGAAAGGCAUUAGAACGAAAGCUAAAGAAGAAUGACGACAAGAAAGGCCCUAUGGGACCACCUACUUUAUUCGGAGAACAAAAUGAGAAAAAAUUGGUUGCUCAUAUUAAAACAAUGUAAGCUAAAGGCUUUCCUUUAACGAGGGAUGAUGUGAGAAAAAUAGCUUACGAAUUU